rnacentral:ncRNA from 1 species
CCCUGAAAACCUAAAGUUUCUUCCAAAAGGUUCGUCCACGGUGGAUGAAUCAGGGCCUAAGAUCAGGCCGAAAGGCGUUUAUGGACAACAAUUGAAUAUUCUUGUACUACCCCUUGUUGGUCCCGAGGGACGGAGGAGGCUAGGUUAGCUGAAAGGUAGUUCGGUUUAAGGAUGCGAGGUGACCUUGCUUUUUUUACAGGGUAAGUAGAGGAAAUGCCUCGAGCCAAUGUCUGAGUACCAUGCGCUACGGUGCUUAAGUAACCCAUGCCAUACUCCUAAGAAAAGCUUGAACGACCUUCAACAAAAGGGUACCUGUACCCGAAAUCAACACAUGUGGGUAGGUAUUGAAUACCUAGGGGCACGAGGCAACUCUCUUUAAGGAACUCAGCAAAAUAGCUCCGUAACUUUGGGAGAAGGGGUGCCUCCUCACAAAGAUGGGUCGCAAUGACCAGGCCUGAGCGACUGUUUACCAAAAACACAUGUCUCCGCAAAGUUGUAGGACCAUGUAUGGGGGCUGACGCUUGCUCAGUGUCGGAAGGUCAAGGAAGUUGGUGACCUAAUGACAGGGGAGACGGCGACUGAAGCCCUGGUGAACAGCGACCAUAACUAUAACGGUCCUAACGUAGUGAAAUUCCUUGUCGAGUAAGUUCCGACCUGAACAAAAGGCGUAAUGAUUUGGGCACUGUCUCGGAGAGAGGCUCAGUGAAAUAAAUAUGUCUGAGAAGAUGUAGGCUACCUGCACCUAGACAGAAAGACCCUAUGAAGCUUUACUGUUCCCUGGGAUUGGCUUUGGACCUUUCCUGCGUAGCUUAGGUGGAGGGCGAAGAAGGCUUCCUUCUCUGGGGGGCUUGAGCCAUCAGUGAGAUACCACUCUGGAAGAGCUAGAAUUCUAACCUUGUAUUAGGAAUUACGGGCCAAGGGACAGUCUCAUGUAGACAGUUUUUAUGGGGCAUAGGCCUUCUAAAAGGUAACGAAAGAGUGCAAAGAUUUCCUCGGGCUGGACGGAGAUUGGCCCUCGAGUGCAAAGGUAGAAGGGAGCUUGACUGCAAGACCCACCUAUCGAACAGGGACGAAAGUCAGCCUUAGUGAUCUGACGGUGCCGAGUAAAAGGGCUGUCGCUCAACAAAUAAAAGUUACUCUGGGGAUAACAGACUGAUCUUCCACAAGAGUUCACAUCGACGGGAAGGUUUGGCACCUCAAUGUCGGUCUUCGCCACUUGGGGCGGUAGUACCUUCCAAGGGUUGGGCUGUUUGCCCAUUAAAACGGUAUGUGAGCUGGGUUUAGAAUGUCGUAAGACAGUUCGGUCCAUAUCUGGUGUGGGUGUUAGAACAUUGAGAGGACCUUUCCCUAGUUCGAGAGGACUGGGAAGGAUGCACCUCUAGUGUAUCAGAUAUCGUGCCCAUGGUAAACGCUGGGUAGCCAAGUGUGGAAAUAUCAUACAUUAUCGUUCUUUUCCAGCAUUAGCAAUAGGAAUGUCAUACAUUAUCAUUCUUUUCCAACGUUAGCAAUAGCAAUAUCAUACAUUAUCGUUCUUAGAAAUGUAUUGGUUUCUAGCAGCUAGUUGAAUUGAUAGGCUUUUAAAUAAAUGAACC